rnacentral:Y_RNA from 1 species
GGCUGGUCCAAGGGCAGUGGUGUUUACAACUAAUUGAUCGCAACCACUUACAGAUAUUUUUGUUCCUUCUCCACUCCCACUGUUUCACCUAACUAGCCUCAA